UUGACCAAUACGGACGUGUUUUUAAAGCGCUCUGAAAAAAGUUUUGACUUUUAAAUUUUUUUUACUAUGACAGAAUCUUAGUUGACUGAUGGUCUUUGACAAAGACAGACUUGUUUUUGUGAGCUAUGAAAAAAAUUUGACUUUGAAAUAUUUUUACGAUUAAAAAGUUUCAGUUCACUUUUGAACGUUGACGAAGACGGACGUACUUUCGUGAGCUCUGACUAUUGAUGAAAAGUUUUGAGUUUUACUGACUUGUACUUUGAGAGUAAAAUUGACUUCGCGUUAUAGAAUAGCGACUUGGUACUCAGGUUGUUGAAUGACUGGAUGACUGAAGUGUUAGGUUAUUGUUAUGAGAUAACAACUUGACUUUGACUUGAGUUGUGAAAUGAAAUCAUACUCUUAUGCGAUGUUAACUUUUGAACGUUUAGUAUUGACUGACAACGAAAUUUUGUGAGCGUUAUAUAUGAAAUGUUUGACUUACAUUAAUUUUUUUGAACGACUUGACUUCACUUUAAGUUUUGACAUCGGACUGAUCGGACGUGUUUUUUUAAGCUCUGACUGUUGUGAAUAAUUAAAUUUAUGUUGUGGUGUCAAGCGAUUGACUGUCAGUUGAGGUUCAGAUGUCGAGCUGUGCGGACGUGUUCAUCGAGCUGCUGUCUACAAAAAACGGUGCUGUGGUGAGUACUGUAGAUUGUAGUGCAUAUGUAUAGAAUUCAAUAAAAGAUUAUGACUGAAAACUGCUUUUGAUUCUUAUUGUACAGUUUUAGGGAUUAUAAGUCUAUAGCAACUCUGUCGGUUGGUGUUCAUGAGUGUGAGCUUAAUACAGCAAUGUUUGAGUAGUACAAAAAUGUUUUCGCUUUUGUGGUCGCCAGCUGUCCGUGAUCUGUAAAGUGAAAAUACACAGAGCUAUGAAGCAUACAAAUGUUUCGAAAUUUUAUCAAUGAUUGUAUACUAUGCAUGUUUUGAUUUAGUUCGUUUCAGAUUUGACAUGAGAUGAAAACCUGACAUGAUUUGAACAGAGCUGGGAAACGAAAAGAUUUUCAGAUGUGUGCUGGCAGUUCAAGUCUGGCAGCUGGAGUGAACAGUCGUGUUUUCUGGAGCUCCAACAAUAUGCUAGAAGGAGUGCUUAUCCAGUGAUGAUAUGACAGUUGGAGUGAACAGUGGAGCCAAGCAGUCUUGUUUUUGGAGCUACUCAACAAGCCUUGAAGGUAAGUUUAGAAUUUCUCAAUGUUAGUGAAUUGAAGUACUGUCACUUGCUUUUGGACAGUCGAACAGAACAGACGUGGUUGCGAGAGCUCUCAUAUCUGUUGUGUUAAACUGUUUUUAUGAUAUGUUAUGUUUGUUUGUUUGUUUGUUGGUGUUGUACUAUUUUUCAGAUGCUGUUGUCAGUGAUGGGUUUUCAAGCUGACCUGAACAGAAAAGCAAUCAUAUGGUAAGUACAAAUAGUUGUUAUAUGGGAUGUUUUGUGCAUGCUUUUAUGUUUCAGGUGUACUUGCAGUUAGAGACGAAGACGAUUCAAGAAGAGGACCAUAGGUCAGAAAGUGGAUGGAACAUACAAAGGGUAAGUUGAACCUGUGUUUUUGUUUGAUUUUUACCAUGCAUACUUUGCUUUGCUCUGUUUCAGAUUUCACAUGCAGAAAUUAAACAGGAUUUCAACUGCUGAGACACAAUUCAUCAAAAGUAAGGUAAGUUUUAAUUCAUUGAUUUGAGUUGUACAAUGUGUUCUUUACUUUAUUUCAGAUUCGAGUCACUGGUUUACACAUGGAAGAAGAUUUCCACGUCGGUUACUCAACUCUACAGAAGCAAGGUAAGUCGAUCAAAUUUUUGUUUUCAUUUGUACUGCUGUAAUGUGAUAGUAAACUUAUGCUAUUUUUCAUGUGUGUCAUGUACAGAUGGAUAAUUCAAGUUUGAUCUGUGUUGGUUUAUGUUCAAAAACGUUUUACAUGUAUGUGUGUUUUCAGAUGUUUUGUUUCAGUUGAUGUCCAGAUGGCAAGCAGUACAGACGUGUUUCUUGGAGCUGCCAAACAGGAGCUGUGGUAAGUAUUGUAGUAUUAAUUUGUCUCAAUAAACGAUGAUGAAUGAAAACUGAUGUCGAUUCUUUUUGUACAGUUUUAGGUAUUAGCACUCUAUACAAAACUCUGUCGGUCGGUGUUUGUGAAUGUGAGCUUAAUCUUUGAGUAGAACAAAAAUGUCUUUACUUUUGUGAUCGCCAGUUGUCUGUGAUGUAAAGUGGAAAAAACACAGCUAUGAAGCAUACAAUUGUUUCAAUAUUUUAUCAAUGAUAGUGUGCUAUGCAUGUUUUGAUUUAGUUCGUUUCAGAUACGACAUGACAUGAAGAGUUGACAGUCGAACAGAGCUGAGCAAAGCAGAAAGGUAAGUGUGUUUCAUUUUAGUAUGAACACUUGUAUUUUGUUUUUAUAUGGUAUGUUUUGUGCAUGCUAUGUUUCAGGUGUACUUGUAGUCAGCGACGAAGACGAUUCAAGAAGAGGAACAUUGCUGAGAAAGUGAAUGGGACUUGCAAACAGGGUAAGUGUUACAAUUGUUCUUUUGAUUUUUGCCAUGCAUACUUUGCUUUGCUCUGUUUCAGAUUUCACAUGCAGAAAUGGUCUCAUAGCAGUGCCAACAGUGAAUAAGGAUUUCAGCUGCUGUGAAACAACUCAACAGAAAGUAGGUAAGCAUUGAAUGAAUGCACUUGAGUUGUACAAUUUGAUGUGAUGCUUUUCUCUGUUUCAGAUUCAAGUUCCUGGUGUAGACAGAGAAAUGUGUUUGAAGAAGGAAUUCUACUACUGUGAUUCAACUCUACAGAAGCAAGGUAAGUAGAAACAAAAUUUUGGUUUAAUUUAACUCAUGUGUUUUGCACUGCAUGCUAUUUUUCAGGUCUCUCACGCAGUGAUGGAAAAGAAGAAGAUUUCAAGAAAGAAUCACUGCUGCAACUCAGGCCUAUAACAAGACUUACAUUGCUGUGACUGUUCCACAGUGGGUCAAAAAAGAGACGAAUACAGGUUUCAAGAAGAAAAUUGGCUGUUGAAAACCUGCACAAAAUAUGAGGUAAGUAAACUAUUCUUUUGGUUUGUUUUGUGCUUUGUUAUGCUUAACUAUUUUUCAGAUUGGAAUGGUGGGUCGUUACAGAGCAGACUUUUGGACAACUGAGAAGUUGAGAAACAGAGAAUGAUUCAAGAUCAGCUAGGUAAGUCUUGAUUAUUGUGCAUUGCUAAAUGUUUUUUUUCAUUCCAGUAUGGCUGUGGUAAGUACACAAACUUUCUAUAAUUUAAUAUUGAACUGUUUUUAUGACCUGUAUUCUGCAUUGUAAAAUGUCUGUUUUUCAUUUCAGUAUCCUGUGGUAAGUACACUAACUUUCUUUAAUUUUCAUAUUGAACUGUUUUGAUGACUUGUAUACUACUAUGCAAUGCCUAAUGUUUUUUUCAUUUCAGUAGCCUGUGGUAAGUACACUAACUUUCUUUAAUUUUCAUAUUGAACUGUUUUGAUGACUUGUAUACUACUAUGCAAUGCCUAAUGUUUUUUUCAUUUCAGUAGCCUGUUGGUAAGUACACUAACUUUCUAUAAUUUCAUAGUGAAUUGUUUUGAUGACCUGUAUUCUGCAUUGUAAAAUGUGUUUCUUUUUCAUUUCAGUAUGGCUGUGGUAAGUACACAAACUUUCUUUAAUUUUCAUAUUGAACUGUUUUGAUGACUUGUAUUCUGCUAAACAAAAUGUGCUUUUUUCAAUUUCAGGUCAGCAAUGGUAAGUAUAGUGUGUUUCUUUAUGUAUAAUUUUGUAUACAUAUUGUUUUUUUUCAUCAUAUCAUGUCUUUCAUAUUUAUGCUUUGUGUAAGUAAAAUGUUCAUAAAUCAUUCUUAUCUUCAAACUAAAAAUGUAUUGUGCUAUGCAAAAUGUCUGUAUGAUUUCAGUUGCCAGAGGUGAGUACCAUAACAGUUGAAAAGUUAGUUUUGUUUAGUUCAAGUUUUGGUUCACAGUUCUGUUUGUUAUUUGGCAAAAUUUACAUGUAUGCAUUGAGUCUUGAUUUCAGCUCGAUUGUGGACUGAAGAAGAUUGCCAGCAGAGGGAUUGGAUACAAAAUACAAAGUAAGUACUGAGUUUCUUACUAAAAGUUUUGAGUUGUAUUCAUUGUGUGUAAAUAUGCUAUGAUUGCUAUGAACAUGACUUUUGUAUUUCAGCGAAGACAACAUAGGUAAGUAAAAUUGUUAUCUGUUUCAUGUUUACUGUUACAGUUCAAUAUUGUGUUUAUAAAUUUUAAGUUGUACAAACACAUUCAAAAGUUUCUAAUCAUGCUUUCGAUUUCAUUUCAGCUUUACUGCUAGACGAGUGUUCUCUACUACUUGACGAGUCAGCUUUACUACCAGGCGAGCAGUGACAACAAGGCGCCUUUGUGGAAACAACACAACAAAAAACUCUACUGCAAGACGAGCAGUAACAGCAAGGCGCCUGAACAUGCAACACAAUACAAAAAAUGCCAAUUUGCAAACCUUGAUGUGGACACCGAGUAGUCAAUACAUACGUGUGGCGUAUAGCUGCGACAAAACCGUGGGUCCAUCGCACCGAUAACUUGAACAUUGGCCCGUGUAUGGACAUCAGUGCAACUUUGUGAAUCCAUGUAACUUUGUGAAUCCAUGUAACAUUGCGAAUGUGUGUCGAUCGAAAAAUGUGUACAUUCUGCACUGAAACGAACUCGGUGUUGCAAGUGGCAAGUGUUGACAGUGUGUAUGUUUAUGUUUAUGUUUUUACAUGAAAAAUAAAGGAGAUUGUUCUCCUACCUUUUUUUUCCUUGUUUUAUUGUGCUGGCCAGCAAUAUUGAUGUAUUGAUGUAUUGAUGUAUGUGUUUGUGUAUUAACGAUGUAUUAACUAUGCAUUACCAAAAUCAAACAAAACUUUGGCACAAGAGACUCUAAGUAUCAAAUACCAACAAUUUAAGCGCAGACAAUCACAUGGUGGUACACCAGUCCGAAUAUACUCAUUGCUCUAGCCAGGAUUGCAAAUUACUUGUGUUGACUAGCAAGGCUCCCUAGUAACGGAGCAGUGUUACUGGCGUUUUUUGGGUCGAUAGUGCUUAGGUGAGGUUUUGCUCGAAUCGGGAGCGGGUCACUCGCUUGGGCGAGUUAGUUUUCGCUCGUAGUUUCCAAUCUGGCUAGAUCAAUGUAAGGUUGUUUUGACUGCUAUUUGGCAAGCAGAAAGACAACAGCGGUUAAUUGACUGAGUAUGGGCGACCGAGGUAUGUAGGUGUCAAUAGACCGACUCCACAAGUUGCGAAGCGAACCGAUAGCACUUGAGGGGAAACGCCUCGGUUUUCGGUUCUAACAUGUGUUAUCCAUGCUGUCGUUAUACUCUGGCAAGGCUCCUCAAUCUAUCGCGAGGGACACUCAUUAUUGCCCGCAAGCUUUAGAACCUGACGUGGGUCGAUGCGUAUGCGAGUCCGAGGACGCGAUGGCAUUUGAUAAGGCUACCAACCGGUUGAUAACACGCAUUGUUCAAAUUGUUAGGUUUAAGUCUGCUAGGGCUGGGGUGGGAA